rnacentral:rRNA from 1 species
GCUCAAUAGCGUAUAUUAAAGUUGUUGCAGUUAAAAAGCUCGUAGUUGAAUUUCGGGGUUAGUAGGUUGGUCAUGCCUCUGGUAUGUACUGGUCUCACUGAUUCCUCCUUCCUUAUGAACCGUAAUGCCAUUAAUUUGGUGUUGCGGGGAAUUUGGACUGUUACUUUGAAAAAAUUAGAGUGUUUAAAGCAAGCUAACGCUUGAAUACAUUAGCAUGGAAUAAUGAAAUAGGACGUUCGAUCUUAUUUUGUUGGUUUCUAGGAUUGACGUAAUGAUUAAUAGGGAUAGUUGGGGGCAUUAGUAUUCAAUUGUCAGAGGUGAAAUUCUUGGAUUUAUUGAAGACUAACUACUGCGAAAGCAUUUGCCAAGGAUGUUUUCAUUAAUCAAGAACGAAAGUUAGGGGAUCGAAGACGAUCAGAUACCGUCGUAGUCUUUAACCAUAAACUAUGCCGACUAGGGAUCGGAUGAUGUUAAUUUUUUAAUGACUCAUUCGGCG